CAGGCCCAUGCUGCGGGGCUCGUCCAGGCCCACCUUGGUGUCCUUGCCGGCGGCGCGCAUGUUGGUCAGCUGCUUGGUCUUGCAGAUGUUGACCUUCAGGUCUCCCGCCUUGGCGUGCAUGCCAAUCACCUGGCCCUCGUACACCUGGUCGCCGGGGCGGCAGAACAUCUGGCCGCGGUCCUGCGCGCUCUCCAGAGCGUACGUCGUGGCCUGGCCGGUCUCGUGCGCCACCAGAGAGCCGUUCUCGCGCAUCAGAAUCUCGCCCGCAACAGGGGCGUACCUGUGGAGGACAGGGGAGGAGGAAUGGGCCGAUGCCGCAGGUUAGCCACCAGGCAGCGCUGUCUUGCUUCUGCACAGUCUCUGGGUUUACUGCACAGAGCAAAGUAGACGUCGGGUCGCCAUGGCCGCGCACUUACUCGAGGAACAGGGUGUUCAUGACGCCCAGGCCGCGGGUGGCGGUCAGCAGCGAGUUCUUCAGGCCCAGUAGGCCGCGGGUGGCGAUACGGAACUUGAUGCGCGAGGCGCCCUGGAUCGAGGGGAUCAGGUCCACCAUCUCGCCCUUCCGCUGGGCGAACAGCUCCACGACGGCGCCCACGUACUGCUCCGGCACGUCCACAAUGGCCUCCUCGUAGGGCUCGCACGUCUUGCCGUUCACCUCGCGGGUGAUGACCUGUACGCAGCAGGACACGUGAUGGGCCCGGGGUGGUUUCAGGUAUGCCUCCAACUCCCAGGCAAAUCAACCCAGCCCGCCAAAAGCAGGGACUUCGUGCAGGCCCGGCUCUAUCCUACGGACGCCGUGUCCCGUAACCCCCCUCCCCCGCAGAAAAAUUAGCGGUGGGCGCACCUUCGGGGGGCCAAUCUCGAACUCGUAGCCCUCACGACGCAUGUUCUCAAUGAGGAUACCCAGGUGCAGAGUACCGCGGCCAGACACCACGAACGAGUCCGAGGUCUCACCGGGCUCCACGCUGCAAACACAAGAGCCAGGCAAUAGGGGGUCAAUGUGAUGUUCACAAAGAAGCUAGACGCGGUCCAGCUCCUUGUUGUUCAACCAAGCCACCUUAGUCACGAACACCCCGCCUCAAUAGUACACGUGAGCGGUGUUUUGGAUGCUGACGACACCUAGCACGCUCGCCCCGGGCAUUUGUGCGCGCCUGUCACGGCCGCUGCUCCUGGGUGUCUCACCGCAGCGCCAGGUUACGCUCCAGCUCGCGAUCCAGGCGGUCCUUCAGGUUGCGCGAGGUCACGAACUUGCCCUCCUUGCCGGCGAAGGGCGAGGUGUUGACCUUGAAGGUCAUGUUCACGGUUGGGUCCUCCACCUGAAGCGGGCGCGCAAAGAGCCGCAGGCGCGGGGCGCAAGGUCAACUCCUGUCGUGAAUACCAUGCUUUACCCAGGCGCCUGCCCUUGCAUCGUGCAACCCAUGGACCUCUGUUCUGUGGAAAAGCUGACAUCAUGGCAACAAGGGUGUGCUGUAUCUAGAGUAUAGAUUGUGGGCUGUACG
rnacentral:lncRNA from 1 species